UGGACUUUGAGGCACAACAAAUCUUUACAAAAGUUUUUCUCAACACAGUGCGAGUAACACUCACCUCUCAACACUCACGUAAUGAGUAACAGAUAACUUACAGCACAAGAACAGAUAAUAACUCAAACAGAAGACUUAUAGUGUAAUUGGAUGAACACAAGGUGAGAAUAAUUAAAGAAAAACAAAAGGACUGGACAGAGGAGUACAUUACUCCACAAGAGGUUUUACUUGAAUCAAUGAAUAACACUCCCGGACAAAGGUACAAAAGCUGUCAGUGGGGUGGUACCUUUUCAAAAGACAAGGUGACCAUCCUCGAUUAAGUUUCCCUCAGGACUUUUCUAAAAACCAAAAUAUGACCACACCUCAGAUGUGGUUCUCUUAAAAGGCUGAAAAUCUCCCGAUCACGGUCACAGCCUUCCGCCAUUCUUUUGGAUUAAAAAAAUAAACAACUUUGCACGCUGCGUCAGACUGUGGACGGGAUUCAUAUAUCCUCAUCGUGUGAAGGAAUGGACAUCAGUGCUGAUAAAGUAACUGAAACAGAAAAGACCAUGAAGACGUCUGGAUCCUUAAAGCCCUCGGGUACUCUCUAUCCAUUUGAUCAGAAUUCUGCUUCUCAUCGAUAUAUUCAAAACUACACUUUACCACCAGAGACCGGACCUGGUAAUCUGAUCGAUCCAGUUCAUGAGUAUAAGUUCAUGGGCAGAACAGGCGAUAUGAAUGUGAUGAAGAAAAAGUUUAAUAUAGAGGUGUUUCGUUUUGCUGCAGGUUGUAUGAACAGCCGUACAAAUGGAACCAUCCAUUUUGGUGUAGCAGACUCAUAUGCUCAUGCUGAGAUCAUUGGGGUCAGUGUUGACAAGAAAGACACCAUCAUUGAUCACUUUAAUAAAGGUAUUAAAUCGUACUUUGAAGAGCACACAGAUGAAGCAAAGGCAUGCAUCAGGCAGCCACGCUUUGUAGAAGUGCUCUGUCCUGACGGCACUCCAUCUGGCAAAUAUGUCAUAGAGGUGGAUGUUGUUCCAUCCCACAGCAUAGUUCAGGGUAAGUUGUUUUAUACCCAGACUCUAGAUGAGGACAAUCAAUGGAAAAAGAGAAAAGGAACGUCACUCUUCAUCAGAGAUAGAACUGCAACCCGAGAUAUCUAUAAAAUAGGUAAUCCAAAAGACUUGCAUGACGAACUGACUCGAAUGAAUGACCAAAUGAAUGUUCUGGAUGACAGGAGAAAGGAGGCAGAAAAGAGCCAAGAGAGCAAAGAACAUCAUUGAACUGAAGAAUAAGGCUGCAACAAACGAUUAUUUUGAUAAUCGAUUAAUAUAACGAUUAUUGGAGCGAUUAAUCAACUAAUCGCCGAUUAUUGGAGCGAUUAAUCGGCUAAUCUACGAUUAUUUCACUGGCUAAUCAGUAGGUUUGGAGCGAUUAUUCAGAUUUUUCGAUUAGUUAAAACAUUGAGUUAUACAUAUUCUUACUAUAAUAUAAAAAAAGAAAAUCAGUUCUGCUUUUGAAAUAGUUGUUUUAAUGAACUUUGAGCCAACUAAACAGGUCAUUCUCUUUAGGUUUUCAGAUUUCAGUCCAACUUAAAUCAGACACAAAUGCUCUCUAAGCAUUGUUUAAUAGGACCACUGCUUUUCUUAGAACUGAAACAGAAAAAGGGUAAUUUACUUCAGGACACAAAGAAUGGUAAAUUAUUAAUCUGUAAACCAUUAUUAUGAAUAUAAAAUUACAAUUUUUUUAGAUGAAAAUUGAGCUGACAGAGACGCUCUCAUUCACCUUUUAAUUUACAGUAUGAAAAAGUAAUUGCUAUGAUAUUCUUCCUAACAUCUCCUUUUGUAAAUCUUCAUGAUUAUAGAACAAAAAAACAGGCAAGUGAUAAGACUAUAAUACAUAAUGAUAAUAAUAAUAUAGUGUUACAAUAAUAAAAACAGCACUGACUCCUAAGCUCGAUCAAGCUUAUUCUAUGCAAAAUAAAUCAUUACUAUAAUUAUUUUAUUAUUAAUAAUAUUAUUACUAUUAUUAGUAGUAUUGCAUCAUCUAAUAAAGAGAUUUACAUUACCACUAGUUAGUUACCAUUAGUUAGAUGACAGAUAGAUCAUGUAUUAAUAGAUCGUAUAAUAAUAAUGGGUGGAAGUGUCUUCGUCUAUUUCUAGUUAGUUAGAUCUCAAUAUAAAAGAAAUUGUUUUAAUGCAGACAACAAAACUUUAAAUCCAUUUUAGUUUUUUUAGUUUUUUAGUUUUUUUUGUUUAACAUAGA